rnacentral:misc_RNA from 1 species
AAAAAAAAAAAAAAUUCUUUUGCCUUUUCAAAUGAUUGUGCUUCAAUGUUUGUGAACUUCAUUAGAUGCUGCUCUGUUCUUUUCUUCUUCUGCAUAUGAUUAGUGUUGGCUAUUUUGGUUCAGCCUUAUCAUAAUUAGGGGAAAUAGAAGGAUGCAUUUUUUGAGAUUGAUUCAUUACUUCUAUCAUAUUCUGUUUGGUUGCUAAGAAAACA